rnacentral:rRNA from 1 species
UACAGAGGGGGCAAGCGUUGUUCGGAAUUACUGGGCGUAAAGGGCGCGUAGGCGGCCCGCUAAGUCGAACGUGAAAUCCCCGAGCUCAACUCGGGAACUGCGUCCGAUACUGGUUGGCUUGAAUCCGGGAGAGGGAUGCGGAAUUCCAGGUGUAGCGGUGAAAUGCGUAGAUAUCUGGAGGAACACCGGUGGCGAAGGCGGCAUCCUGGACCGGCAUUGACGCUGAACAGCGAAAGCCAGGGGAGCAAACGGG